rnacentral:rRNA from 1 species
AGCUCCAAGAAUACACGGAGGAGGUGGCCUGGGUCGGCAUCGGCACCGUCUGGCAUGGGCCACGAGCCCGCUUCCAAGUGCGUAUGCGUGCCGGCCACCCACGUCGGGUCCUUCAAGUGUCGCUUCCACCGCACCAACUCCCAGGGCCACGGCCAGGGCCAGGGAAGCCGCCCUUCUUCGCCCCCUUCACCGGUCGCGGCCAACGCGGUGCCCCGGCACCCGGCCUCUCCAUCCUUGUCCUCCGGCACCGUCGUGACCCAGUGA